UACGUAGGUGACAAGCGUUGUCCGGAUUUACUGGGCGUAAAGAGCGCGCAGGCGGUCGAUCAAGUCGAGUGUGAAAGCCCCCGGCUCAACUGGGGAGGGUCAUUCGAUACUGAUCGACUCGAAGGCAGGAGAGGGUAGUGGAAUUCCCGGUGUAGUGGUGAAAUGCGUAGAGAUUGGGAAGAACACCAGUGGCGAAGGCGGCUAUCUGGACGGUUUCUGACGCUAAGACGCGAAAGCGUGGGGAGCAAACAGG
rnacentral:rRNA from 1 species